UCACCGCUUGCGCGGGCAGUUCCACUAGAGUCCCCGGCCGAACCGCUGGCAACUAAUGGUAGGGGUUGCGCUCGUUGCGGGACUUAACCCAACAUCUCACGGCACGAGCUGACGACAGCCGUGCAGCACCUGUGCAGGCUCCCUUGCGGGUCCCUUCCGUUUCCGGUCAGUACCACCUGCAUGUCAAGCCCGGGUAAGGUUCUUCGCGUUGCAUCGAAUUAAGCCAUAUGCUCCACCGCUUGUGCGGGCCCCCGCCAAUUCCUUUGAGUUUUAGCCUUGCGGCCGUACUCCCCAGGCGGGGCGCUUAAUGCGUUAGCUACGGCACGGAUCCCGUGGAAGGAAACCCACACCUAGCGCCCACCGUUUACGGCGUGGACUAC
rnacentral:misc_RNA from 1 species